AUUGAACGCUGGCGGCAUGCUUUACACAUGCAAGUCGAACGGCAGCGCGGGCUUCGGCCUGGCGGCGAGUGGCGAACGGGUGAGUAAUACAUCGGAACGUGCCCAGUAGUGGGGGAUAGCUCGGCGAAAGCCGGAUUAAUACCGCAUACGACCUGAGGGUGAAAGCGGGGGAUCUUCGGACCUCGCGCUAUUGGAGCGGUCGAUGGCAGAUUAGCUAGUUGGUGGGUAAAGGCCUACCAAGGCGACGAUCUGUAGCUGGUCUGAGAGGACGACCAGCCACACUGGGACUGAGACACGGCCCAGACUCCUACGGGAGGCAGCAGUGGGGAAUUUUGGACAAUGGGCGAAAGCCUGAUCCAGCAAUGCCGCGUGUGUGAUGAAGGCCUUCGGGUUGUAAAGCACUUUUGGCGGGAACGAAAAGGACUGUGCCAAUACCACGGUUCGAUGACGGUACCCCCAGAAUAAGCACCGGCUAACUACGUG
rnacentral:rRNA from 1 species